UUUGUGAAGUAAAAAUCGUAACAAGGUCUCCGUGGGUGAACCAGCGGAGGGAUCAUUACCGAGUUUACAACUCCCAAACCCCUGUGAACAUACCACUUGUUGCCUCGGCGGAUCAGCCCGCUCCCGGUAAAACGGGACGGCCCGCCAGAGGACCCCUAAACUCUGUUUCUAUAUGUAACUUCGGAGUAAAACCAUAAAUAAAUCAAAACUUUCAACAACGGAUCUCUUGGUUCUGGCCAUCGAUGAAGAACGCAGCAAAAUGCGAUAAGUAAUGUGAAUUGCAGAAUUCAGUGAAUCAUCGAAUCUUUGAACGCACAUUGCGCCCGCCAGUAUUCUGGCGGGCAUGCCUGUUCGAGCGUCAUUUCAACCCUCAAGCACAGCUUGGUGUUGGGACUCGCGUUAAUUCGCGUUCCCCAAAUUGAUUGGCGGUCACGUCGAGCUUCCAUAGCGUAGUAGUAAAACCCUCGUUACUGGUAAUCGUCGCGGCCACGCCGUUAAACCCCAACUUCUGAAUGUUGACCUCGGAUCAGGUAGAAUCCAG
rnacentral:rRNA from 1 species